CCCUUAGAUGCUCUGGGCCGCACGCGCGCUACACUGGUCGAUGCAACGAGUUUCUUUCCUUGGCCGACAGGCCUGGGCAAUCUUUGAACAUCGAUCGUGAUCGGGAUAGAUUUUUGUAAUUUUUGAUCUUAAACGAGGAAUUCCUAGUAAACGCAAGUCAUCAGCUUGCAUUGAUUACGUCCCUGCCCUUUGUACACACCGCCCGUCGCACCUACCGAUUGAAUGGUCCGGUGAAAUCUCCGGACUGGCGUGAGUCGGAGCAAUCUGACAAACGCCGGAAAGUUGAUUAAACCUUACCAUUUAGAGGAAGGUGAAGUCGUANCA
rnacentral:rRNA from 1 species